rnacentral:rRNA from 1 species
AACAGGAUUAGAUACCCUGGUAGUCCACGCUGUAAACGAUGUCGACUUGGAGGUUGUUCCCUUGAGGAGUGGCUUCCGGAGCUAACGCGUUAAGUCGACCGCCUGGGGAGUACGGCCGCAAGGUUAAAACUCAAAUGAAUUGACGGGGGCCCGCACAAGCGGUGGAGCAUGUGGUUUAAUUCGAUGCAACGCGAAGAACCUUACCUACUCUUGACAUCCAGAGAACUUAGCAGAGAUGCUUUGGUGCCUUCGGGAACUCUGAGACAGGUGCUGCAUGGCUGUCGUCAGCUCGUGUUGUGAAAUGUUGGGUUAAGUCCCGCAACGAGCGCAACCCUUAUCCUUUGUUGCCAGCGAUUCGGUCGGGAACUCAAAGGAGACUGCCAGUGAUAAACUGGAGGAAGGUGGGGAUGACGUCAAGUCAUCAUGGCCCUUACGAGUAGGGCUACACACGUGCUACAAUGGCAUAUACAAAGAGAAGCGACCUCGCGAGAGCAAGCGGACCUCAUAAAGUAUGUCGUAGUCCGGAUUGGAGUCUGCAACUCGACUCCAUGUAGUCGGAAUCGCUAGUAAUCGUGGAUCAGAAUGCCACGGUGAAUACGUUCCCGGGCCUUGUACACACCGCCCGUCACACCAUGGGAGUGGGUUGCAAAAGAGGUAGGUAGCUUAACCUUCGGGAGGGCGCUUACCACUUUGUGAUUCAUGACUGGGGUGAAGUCGUAACAAGGUAACC